UACGUAGGGGGCAAGCGUUGUCCGGAUUUAUUGGGCGUAAAGAGCUCGUAGGCGGUUGGACAAGUCACGUGUGAAAUCUCCACGCUCAACGUGGAGGCGCCACGUGAGACUGCCCUGACUCGAGUCCGGUAGGGGAGCGUGGAAUUCCCGGUGUAGCGGUGAAAUGCGCAGAGAUCGGGAGGAACACCCGUAGCGAAGGCGGCGCUCUGGGCCGGUACUGACGCUGAGGAGCGAAAGCGUGGGGAGCAAACAGG
rnacentral:rRNA from 1 species